rnacentral:lncRNA from 1 species
CGAGCUGUCAUGCUCGCUAGGCGAGCAGCGUGGUUCGCUUUGCGAAAGGAGUUGUCAUGCUCGCUAGGCGAGCAAAUCCUUUGCUAGGCGAAGCGCACGCGUUUUAAAAAAUAAAAAAUAAAAUAAAUAAAUAAAUAAAAUAUAACAGAAAAAUCUUGGACUUGGACCUCUCUCAUUUGAGCCCACAAAAAUCAGGUUAUAAAUUCUAGACUUCCAUCUCCCAAAAAACCCUGGAAAAAGAUAGUGAGAGAAGAGCUAACAGAGUUCAGAGCAGCCUCCAGAGACUGAAAGGAACUCAUCUGCAAAGAGCCAAUCCCAUCUCAUAUAAACCCUCAGACUGCUUUGCAAACUCAACCGGGCAAUUCAAUUUCAUUCGAUCUCUC